rnacentral:rRNA from 1 species
CUGAUUGAACGUGCUUGCACGGACUUGACGUUGGUUUACCAGCGAGUGGCGGACGGGUGAGUAACACGUAGGUAACCUGCCCCAAAGCGGGGGAUAACAUUUGGAAACAGAUGCUAAUACCGCAUAACAAUUUGAAUCGCAUGAUUCAAAUUUAAAAGAUGGCUUCGGCUAUCACUUUGGGAUGGACCUGCGGCGCAUUAGCUUGUUGGUAGGGUAACGGCCUACCAAGGCUGUGAUGCGUAGCCGAGUUGAGAGACUGAUCGGCCACAAUGGAACUGAGACACGGUCCAUACUCCUACGGGAGGCAGCAGUAGGGAAUCUUCCACAAUGGGCGCAAGCCUGAUGGAGCAACACCGCGUGAGUGAAGAAGGGUUUCGGCUCGUAAAGCUCUGUUGUUAGAGAAGAACGUGCGUGAGAGCAACUGUUCACGCAGUGACGGUAUCUAACCAGAAAGUCACGGCUAACUACGUGCCAGCAGCCGCGGUAAUACGUAGGUGGCAAGCGUUAUCCGGAUUUAUUGGGCGUAAAGCGAGCGCAGGCGGUUUGAUAAGUCUGAUGUGAAAGCCUUUGGCUUAACCAAAGAAGUGCAUCGGAAACUGUCAGACUUGAGUGCAGAAGAGGACAGUGGAACUUCAUGUGGU